UGGUGGAGCACCCCAGCUUGCAGGUUCAGCGUGGGUAUCUCUCCCAGGCACAUCGAGCUGUCUAGAGGAACCCCUCUUCCCCCGGCUUCACGGCCUAGAGGACGCACGGCUCUCUCCCCUCGAGAGCCUGUUCCGUCGCCCGCGCGGGGAACGCGAAGUGCUAGGGUAGUCACGGCCACUUCACGCCGAGGGACAUCUCAUCUCGCCCUCCAGGUCGUGAGCGUACCCAUUCCGCUCACUGAGGCCGAAAGCUUUGGACCUCUGUGGGCCCUGAGACUUCAGAGUUCCAUGUCUGCUGUGCUGUGGAACCCAGAGUGCUCUUGCCUGGAUGGCUGAGAAUCCCUUGGACCCUGGAAGCACCUACUCCAUGAUGGCCCGGUAUAGUGCAGGCUCAAUAUAAUCUUCCCGGUAUCUUGA
rnacentral:antisense_RNA from 1 species